rnacentral:rRNA from 1 species
GAUGAACGCUGGCGGCGUGCUUAACACAUGCAAGUCGAGCGAGGUUUAAGUAGCUUGCUACUUAGACCUAGCGGCGGACGGGUGCGUAACGCGUGGGCAACCUACCCUAUACAUCGGAAUAACUCAUCGAAAGGUGGGCUAAUGCCGAAUACCUCCUUUAUAUCGAUUGUUAUUUAGGAGAAAGCUUUUGCGGUAUAGGAUGGGCCCGCGUCUGAUUAGCUAGUUGGUGAGGUAACGGCUCACCAAGGCGACGAUCAGUAGCCGACCUGAGAGGGUGAUCGGCCACAUUGGAACUGAGACACGGUCCAAACUCCUACGGGAGGCAGCAGUGGGGAAUAUUGGACAAUGGGGGGAACCCUGAUCCAGCCAUGCCGCGUGUGUGAAGAAGGCCUUUUGGUUGUAAAGCACUUUAAGCGAGGAGGAGGCUACCGAGAUUAAUACUCUUGGAUAGUGGACGUUACUCGCAGAAUAAGCACCGGCUAACUCUGUGCCAGCCGCCGCGGUAA